rnacentral:rRNA from 1 species
UUUUAUGGAGAGUUUGAUCCUGGCUCAGGAUGAACGCUGGCGGCGUGCCUAAUACAUGCAAGUCGAGCGAACGGACGAGAAGCUUGCUUCUCUGAUGUUAGCGGCGGACGGGUGAGUAACACGUGGAUAACCUACCUAUAAGACUGGGAUAACUUCGGGAAACCGGAGCUAAUACCGGAUAAUAUUUUGAACCGCAUGGUUCAAAAGUGAAAGACGGUCUUGCUGUCACUUAUAGAUGGAUCCGCGCUGCAUUAGCUAGUUGGUAAGGUAACGGCUUACCAAGGCAACGAUGCAUAGCCGACCUGAGAGGGUGAUCGGCCACACUGGAACUGAGACACGGUCCAGACUCCUACGGGAGGCAGCAGUAGGGAAUCUUCCGCAAUGGGCGAAAGCCUGACGGAGCAACGCCGCGUGAGUGAUGAAGGUCUUCGGAUCGUAAAACUCUGUUAUUAGGGAAGAACAUAUGUGUAAGUAACUGUGCACAUCUUGACGGUACCUAAUCAGAAAGCCACGGCUAACUACGUGCCAGCAGCCGCGGUAAUACGUAGGUGGCAAGCGUUAUCCGGAAUUAUUGGGCGUAAAGCGCGCGUAGGCGGUUUUUUAAGUCUGAUGUGAAAGCCCACGGCUCAACCGUGGAGGGUCAUUGGAAACUGGAAAACUUGAGUGCAGAAGAGGAAAGUGGAAUUCCAUGUGUAGCGGUGAAAUGCGCAGAGAUAUGGAGGAACACCAGUGGCGAAGGCGACUUUCUGGUCUGUAACUGACGCUGAUGUGCGAAAGCGUGGGGAUCAAACAGGAUUAGAUACCCUGGUAGUCCACGCCGUAAACGAUGAGUGCUAAGUGUUAGGGGGUUUCCGCCCCUUAGUGCUGCAGCUAACGCAUUAAGCACUCCGCCUGGGGAGUACGACCGCAAGGUUGAAACUCAAAGGAAUUGACGGGGACCCGCACAAGCGGUGGAGCAUGUGGUUUAAUUCGAAGCAACGCGAAGAACCUUACCAAAUCUUGACAUCCUUUGACAACUCUAGAGAUAGAGCCUUCCUCUUCGGGGGACAAAGUGACAGGUGGUGCAUGGUUGUCGUCAGCUCGUGUCGUGAGAUGUUGGGUUAAGUCCCGCAACGAGCGCAACCCUUAAGCCUAGUUGCCAUCAUUAAGUUGGGCACUCUAAGUUGACUGCCGGUGACAAACCGGAGGAAGGUGGGGAUGACGUCAAAUCAUCAUGCCCCUUAUGAUUUGGGCUACACACGUGCUACAAUGGACAAUACAAAGGGCAGCGAAACCGCGAGGUCAAGCAAAUCCCAUAAAGUUGUUCUCAGUUCGGAUUGUAGUCUGCAACUCGACUACAUGAAGCUGGAAUCGCUAGUAAUCGUAGAUCAGCAUGCUACGGUGAAUACGUUCCCGGGUCUUGUACACACCGCCCGUCACACCACGAGAGUUUGUAACACCCGAAGCCGGUGGAGUAACCUUUUAGGAGCUAGCCGUCGAAGGUGGGACAAAUGAUUGGGGUGAAGUCGUAACAAGGUAGCCGUAUCGGAAGGUGCGGCUGGAUCACCUCCUUUCUAA